CCUACGGGAGGCAGCAGUGAGGAAUAUUGGUCAAUGGCCGGAAGGCUGAACCAGCCAUGCCGCGUGAAGGUUAGUGCCCUAUGGGCGUUAAACUUCUUUUGUGCGGGAGCAAUAAUGGUCACGUGUGGCCAGACGAGAGUACCGUACGAAUAAGCAUCGGCUAACUCCGUGCCAGCAGCCGCGGUAAUACGGGGGAUGCAAGCGUUAUCCGGGUUUAUUGGGGUUAAAGGGUGCGUAGGCUGGGAGGUAAGUCAGCGGUGAAAUGCCCCCGGUCAACGUGGUGAAGUGCCAUUGAUACUGGCGUGCUGGAAUGCAGAUGCCGUAGGAGGAAUGUGUGGUGUAGCGGUGAAAUGCAUAGAUAUCACACAGAACACCGAUUGCGAAGGCAUCUCACGAAUCCGCGAUUGACGCUGAUGCACGAAAGCGUGGGUAUCAAACAGGAUUAGAUACCCGGGUAGUC
rnacentral:rRNA from 1 species